GAUGAACGCUGGCGGCGUGCCUAACACAUGCAAGUCGAACGGACUUUGGUGAAACCUAGUGAUCCAAAGUUAGUGGCGGACGGGUGAGUAACGCGUGGGUAACCUGCCUCACACUGGGGGAUAACAGUUAGAAAUGACUGCUAAUACCGCAUAAGCCCACGGUACCGCAUGGUACAGAGGGAAAAGGAGCAAUUCGCUUCAGGAUGGACUCGCGUCUGAUUAGCUAGUUGGUGAGGUAACGGCCCACCAAGGCGACGAUCAGUAGCCGGACUGAGAGGUUGAUCGGCCACAUUGGGACUGAGAUACGGCCCAGACUCCUACGGGAGGCAGCAGUGGGGAAUAUUGCACAAUGGGGGAAACCCUGAUGCAGCAACGCCGCGUGAAGGAAGACGGUCUUCGGAUUGUAAACUUUUGUUCUUAGUGAAGAAACAUGACGGUAGCUAAGGAGAAAGCCACGGCUAACUACGUG
rnacentral:rRNA from 1 species